rnacentral:lncRNA from 1 species
GGAAACGAGACGCUUGCGGAUGAUUGUAAGUGUGGUUGUCGUGUCUUGCACAUUUGCAGUGCCUUUCACAUCUUGCACGUCAAUGGUUUUGGUUUACAGAGCCAUCUGUGGGCCUGGGCUGUGUAACUCACCCCUCUCCGGAAUAACCAGGACUGGACCCAUUUUGGAGUAGAACUGCAAACACAUAUUUUUGGAACCGGUCAGUCCUCUUUCAGAUAAGUGGAAUGGAAAGCCAUUCCUGGGCAUUUACAAAAUACGUGAUUAUUGGUUGGUUUGUUUAGAAACAUGGUCCUGCUUUUAUACAGGGUGGUCUAGAACCCACCAUUCUCUUGCCUCAGUUUCCCCAGUGCUGGAUCACAGGCAUGUGGCACUUUGCUGAGUGUAGAAAUAAGAUUAACAUGGUGUUGUUUAACAAAAAUGUAAACAUUUAAAGACUGAAAGAAAGGGCUGGCUCGAUAGCUCAGCAGGUAAAAGAACUUGCUAUAUAAGUCUGCCAGCCUGAGUUACAUCCCCCGAACUUAUUUAUGUAAAGUUGCCUUCUGACCUCCACAGGCACUUCAUGCACACACAAUAACCAACCAACCAACCAACUAACUAAUUGGCUAACUAAGUGAGUUUUGGCCUGAGAGCAAGCAGGCCAUAAAGAGAACCAAGUUUAGGCCUUUGUUUGCUUGUCUCUGAACAGUCAGAAGAUGUCUUGUACUCCAAAAGCCAUGUUCAUGAACUCAGGGAAAUGCAGAAUGAGGCCCCAACUCCAGCUAAUACAUUCUCUCUCUGCUCUGAAGAUUCUUCAGGAGCUUCAUGCUAGACUGAAAAAGUAUAUGUAAGAGGAAGGGACCUCUAGGGCAGGGGUCUCAUCUCCCGCUUUAGGAUCAAAUAUCAGAUAUCCUACAUAUCAGAUAUUUACAUUAAAAUUCAUAACAGUAAUAAAAUUACAGUUAUGAAGUAGGUGCAAAAAUAACUUUAUGGUGUGGGGGAAAGCAACACUGUAGGGGCGGUUCUUAUGCUAAGUUCUGUUCCGCAAUUGGUUCUUGAUCUGUCAGUAAAGAAGCCAUGGGCCAAUUGCUGGGCAGAAGGCGGGACUUCCGGAUCCAUAGAGGACAAGAGAUUGAAGGAAGGAGAGAUGCUUUGGAGAGAGAAAAGCCAAGCAGCCAAGUGAGGUCUGGGAGGAUCUGGACCAGUGGCCAUUCCUAUAGGUGGUGGUCAGGGGUGUUUAGUUUAGGGCAGGAGGGAGGUAUGGAGGUAGGAAUAUUGUUCAGGGCACACUUUUCCAGGCAGUAGAUAGUAGUGCCCAGCAAUUGUGUCCUAAGGCAAGUUGAAAAGGAACAGUUGUGUGUGUGUGUGUCUUUGAUCCGUGGAUUCAAGGGGAGCUGGAUGGGGCCUGGUGGCACAGCCCAUUCCUGGAGCUUUAGGCAGAGUAGCCAAAACUGCAUUCAACACACAGCAUGAGCGGCUGUAUUAAAGGGUCACAGCAUCAGGAAGGUUGGGGACCACUGCUCUAGUGUGUCUCUAUGAUGAUGUGCUAUGGCAUCUGUGAAGUUGGUCAAAGAAGAGACACGAAGAAGAGAAUUAUAGGGGCCUCUUCAAUGUGAGAGUAAUAAUAUCUGAAGCUGAAAGUAGCCAAAGGCCUGUGUACAUACUACUGGCACCCACAGUUAUAGUCUAAGGCCUGCAGAGACACAGCUGAUGCCCACAGUUACAGUCUAAGGCCUGCAGACACACAGCUGGCGUCCUUGGAUACAGGUUGCCUCACAGUUUUAUUCCUAAAUCCUUUUACUUAAUGGGUAUUCACAAACUCACUAUAUGCAAGCCUUAUCUGAGGUUGCUGAGAAAGAGCUAAGAGAUUAACAAAAUUUUAUUUUUCUCUCAGAGAUCUUAUGAGAUAUGCAGAUAUUAAGAGGAACAUCUUCCUUCAAAGCGUCUUUGGUGUUUUCUGUUAACCCUUGUUUACAAGUAUGCCUUGUAUUCCGUCCCUCUCUCCUUCUGUGUCUAACCAAGAGCCUGAAAAGCCUGCUCGCUCAGUACUCACCACAUAGAGAAUUUCCCUUUCACGUGUUUGAAACAUAGGGUUGGGACCAGUGGCUGAAGGACAGGAUAAUUAUACUGUAAGUUGCAUAUUUGCAUAACACACCUGUCCUAUAAAUCUCACCUGUCCUGGCUGGAUUCCACCAGGUUACACUAACAGGAGGAUGUCCUCUGUCCUCUUUCUGUCUAUGGACAGACCCUAGGCAAGCUGGGAAGCCGGCUCUCCUUAAGAUAUACUUAUGUUAUAUGUAAAUAGGUAUCUGUGUAUCACAGAGAGAGUGUGAUCCUCUCUAUCUAGAUUUUUUAUUCUUUGAAUAUAAUUCAUUCGGUGCUUUCAAUUUGGUUUGUUAUUAUACUCAAACUUGUUUUGUUAUCAGUCAUUACUGCAGAAUUAUGGCUUUUGACACUGGGAUUCAGUUCAGUUCUAUAACAACAGGAUGCUAUCUUUUUCUCUAGAUGAGGUGGUCCGCCGUCUCUCUCUUAGCUCUGUUUACUCUGGGGCUGACAACAUUUUACAUCAGUCUGACCGAGCUGUCUUUCCCAGGCUCCUCCUUUCAUCACACCUGUAAACAAGAGUGCUUACAGAUGCCCUCGAUAUGGACUGUGGCCUUAAACUCAGGGAUACGAUGAACACAUGAGCAAGCCCAGCCCAGAAGGACUGCAAAGGUCCUACAGUUCUCAUUCUGGUUUAAAGCGGUCACCUGCGCUUCCUGUUGCAAUCGUGAGCUCCGGAGCCCGGAGGUGACAGUGGUGUGGCACCUUCUCUCUUGGUUUCUUUCAGACUUCCGGCCAGUUUGCUACGAGGAACCCCAGCACUGGUGUUCUGUUGCCUACUACGAACUAAACAACCGGGUCGGAGAGACUUUCCAGGCGUCCUCGCGGAGCGUGCUCAUAGACGGCUUCACCGACCCUUCCAAUAACAGGAAUAGGUUCUGCCUUGGGCUUCUCUCAAAUGUAAACAGAAACUCGACCAUAGAAAACACCAGGAGGCACAUUGGAAAGGGUGAGAACCAGCAGCGGGUCUCCAUUGCUGCUUCUGAGCUCCAAGAAGCCUGCUACAGUGGUCCCGUAGGAAGCCCGCUAUAAGCGGUCCUUUAGAAAGCCCUUAGGAAGAACCCCAGGCACAGUGUCACCCCUGUAAGGGAACAUGUGCUCUCGGGGUCUCUUUGCCACUAAAAGUCAGUCGACUAUCUUCAGGGAUGGCCUGGGGUGAGGGCUGUGAGACAGGAUAGCCCAAAGGGCCAAAUGUCAUGGCACAGCCCUGUAAGCCCAGCACUAGAAAGGCUCAGGCAGGAGGCUAACCAGCCCGAAGUAUAGAAGGUCCUGUCUACAAAAAUCAACAAUGAAACCCACAAUAAAUAUGAAGGCAGGAUGAAGUUAUUCAAUGGAAGGAUUUAUUAUUAUUAUUAUUAUUAUUAUUAUUAUAUACGUAUUUUAAGGUUUGUUUUAUUUUUUAUGUUUAUGCAUACCUACAUAUAUGUAUUUGCACCAGAAAAAGGUGUCAGAUCCCCCUGGGACUGGGUUUACAGAUGGUUGCGAGCCACUGUGGGUGUUGGGAACUGAACCCAGGUCCUCUGCAAAAGCAAGCCAGUGCUCUUAACUGUUGAGCCUUCACCCCAGCCCCUUGUAAGGUAUCUUUUCUUUUAAAAAGGCAAAUCCUAAAACCAAAACCAAAACAACACAAGAUGAUAUCCUGUGGG